rnacentral:rRNA from 1 species
UUAAAGUUGUUGCAGUUAAAACGCUCGUAGUCGAACUUCGGGCCUGGCGGGAUGGUCCGCCUUACGGUGUGUACUAUUCUGCUGGGCCUUACCUCUUGGUGAGACCUCAUGCUCUUUAUUGGGUGUGGGGUGGAACCAGGAAUUUUACCUUGAGAAAAUUAGAGUGUUCAAAGCAGGCCUAUGCUCGAAUACAUUAGCAUGGAAUAAUA